AGUGAACGCUGGCGGUAGGCCUAACACAUGCAAGUCGAACGGCAGCACAGUAAGAGCUUGCUCUUACGGGUGGCGAGUGGCGGACGGGUGAGGAAUACAUCGGAAUCUACUUUUUCGUGGGGGAUAACGUAGGGAAACUUACGCUAAUACCGCAUACGACCUACGGGUGAAAGCAGGGGAUCUUCGUACCUUGCGCGAUUGAAUGAGCCGAUGUCGGAUUAGCUAGUUGGCGGGGUAAAGGCCCACCAAGGCGACGAUCCGUAGCUGGUCUGAGAGGAUGAUCAGCCACACUGGAACUGAGACACGGUCCAGACUCCUACGGGAGGCAGCAGUGGGGAAUAUUGGACAAUGGGCGCAAGCCUGAUCCAGCCAUACCGCGUGGGUGAAGAAGGCCUUCGGGUUGUAAAGCCCUUUUGUUGGGAAAGAAAAGCAGCAGGUUAAUACCACGCUGUUCUGACGGUACCCAAAGAAUAAGCACCGGCUAACUUCGUG
rnacentral:rRNA from 1 species